CAGGUGCGCAGCUGGGGGAGUCAGUCAUGUGACUGGCCUCUGGGGGGCCCAAGUCACUGGGCCCCCAGACAACUGUCUCCCCUUGCCCUACUAUAGUUACGCCCCUGCUGAGAACUCCAAGUUGUCCACCAAAACUGACACAAAUAGUGGAUUUUUGUUAACCCCCGAUAUAACUCGCGCUACACUCUAACACACAGUGAAAACCCCAAAUUGUAUGUGAACUGCUCUCCGAUAACUCACAGGAACUUUGGGGUAAAUCUGGCCAUGUGAAUGUACACCCUCCAUUCCAGAGGAGAUGCAAGUUAAAGGGCUUUAAAAGCCCCAUGUGAAAAACUUCCUGGGUAGUUUAACACUGUAUGGUUGUUGUUUUUUGUAAACUACCCACAGAGUGCUUUCUUUUCCUUUCCUUUCCUUUCUUGAGGGGGGGGCACGGCCCCCCUGCCCUUACUGACUGGCCGCCACCUCUGAGAUUGCCACUAGGUAGCUGAGCUUCCCCCUGGCCCACCACCAUUUUAGGCAGCAAGCCUAAAUGCGGGGGAGGGGGAGGAGAGGCCAUGCAGAGCAGAGAGGCUCUUCUGCUGAAAGCAGCUACUCCACUUUUCAUGUGGCACACACUGGGAUGCAAAAGGACUUCCCCCUCGCAAUCCCAGCUCAGGACUCCAUCACCGUGCCAACCGCAUGGGUGCACAGUACAGUAGAGUCCAAGAGGACAGUUCCUGCCUUUUCGCCAUCUCCGCAGCUACAAUUGUGAGAACGACCUUUUCUAGUGGCAAAACAAGCAGAAAGCUGUCAAGACCGAUGGAACGAGGAGACAGACAGAGUUUUGAAGAUUUCAACAACCAGGGGAUUUGCAGACACAGAAAUUGUCAUAGAAGUACAAAGGGCCAAAAGGAUGAAGGAUGAAAAUAAAGCGUGAACUGUCUUAUGGGGAUGACUUUUCCACAACAGAAGCAGAACAUGCACAUUUUGCUUCUUCAAAGAGGCAUCAGAGUUUUAUUUUAUCUUAUGUUAAAAAAUAAGUAAUGCUUUUCAUGAUGCUUUGGUUGUCUUUGAACGCAAUAUUUACAUUCUGUUCUCCCCCUCACAAAAAACUUUUCUCUAAUUUU